GCCUUCGUGGUCUAGUGGUCGACGACUGGUAACCGAGAGGUCCGUGGUUCGAUUCCCGGCGAAGACA
rnacentral:tRNA from 1 species